UGCGAUCGCGAGUAAAUUCUGACGGCGCCUUUCCAUCUUUCGUUUAUCGCGUAAGAACGCAGUUAACAGUGGUAUUUGUGUCUUCGGCUUUGCUGUGGAGUAUAAACGAUAUAUAAAAACACAGGCCUUUUAAAAGAAGUCAUGUUAUGAUGCCAUCACUAUGAUCACUUGCUGGUGGAGGCCUGCAAAUGUACACACCAGUGACAUGUACCCAGCACUUAUGGUUUUUGAGACGUGAGGGAUUUUUUUGUGCCAACUGUGAGACAGAACCUAAGUUUAUACAGUCUCAUCCGAGGAACCUGUUUGAGCUGUCUCCACAUCCAGGAGUGGGAUUUGAACCUGCCAUGUGUGACUCAUCUGAAUUCUGAAAUUUGAUACAAAGCAUGACCAUGAUUUGCCAGAAGAGCAUCUGUUUGGAUGUGACAAGAAAUAAACAGCAUAGUGAAAUUAAGUCAAGUUUUGGUUCGUGAAGACAACUUUUAAAUACACAGUAUAUCAUUUUUAAAUUUUGAUUUGACAACAUAAAUCCACAAAUAUGAACAUAUCAAUUGCUCUCAGUUUUUCAAAUGAAAUAGAUUUUGUAACAAAAAUACAUGUAAUUACAUUGGAUUUGGAAUAAAUGUUAUUUUUAAAUAUAAUAUUUUGUUU